rnacentral:lncRNA from 1 species
ACUGGUAAGAAACAGGGGCUGUUAAUAAUUCUGAUGCCAAGUAAGGUCCCAUUUUCCUACCUCAAAUUGGUUACUUUGUUUAUCUUGUAUGUGUGAGUGCAUCCUCAUUCCUUCUCUUUAGCAAGGGACUUCUGAAAGAACUCAGAGUUCAAGACCUAAGAAUAGGUCUUGCCUGCUUAAGCCUAGGUUGGGAUCUAUUAAAACUCAAUAUAAUACAUGUUCAUUGAGUCCUAAAUGCAAUCCUUCUCUGUCUCCAACACAUUAUACUCAGUGAGGUGCAUAUAUUUUAGAAGGGAAAUUCUGUAGGUAGCGUGCUGGAGAUCAAUUAUUUGACGUAUGUGUAAACUGUGUUUAAUUACAGGUGGUCGUAUCCAUGUGUGCUGGGUAACCCAAUUGGAUACAGUCUGCAAAGAGAAUCUACUUACUUCAAACUUUUGCCACCCCAGACUUUCUAACUAAUGGAUUA